UACAGAGGGUGCAAGCGUUAAUCGGAAUUACUGGGCGUAAAGCGUGCGCAGGCGGUUAUGCAAGACAGAUGUGAAAUCCCCGGGCUUAACCUGGGAACUGCAUUGUGACUGCAUAGCUGGAGUGCGGCGAGAGGGGGGAUGAAUUCCGCGUGUAGCAGUGAAAUGCGUAGAGAUCAUGAGGAAGACCAGUGGCGAAGGCGGGUCUCUGGACAGUUCCUGACACUGAGGCACGGAAGGCCAGGGGGAGCAAACGGG
rnacentral:rRNA from 1 species